UGAACGCUAGCGACAGGCUAACACAUGCAAGUCGAGGGGCAGCACGGGAGUAGCAAUACGAACUGGUGGCGACCGGCGCACGGGUGAGUAACGCGUAUGCAACCUACCUAUCAGAGGGGAAUAACCCGGCGAAAGUCGGACUAAUACCGCAUAAAACAGGGGCACCGCAUGGUGAUAUUUGUUAAAGAAAUUCGCUGAUAGAUGGGCAUGCGUUCCAUUAGGUAGUUGGUGAGGUAACGGCUCACCAAGCCGACGAUGGAUAGGGGAACUGAGAGGUUGGUCCCCCACACUGGUACUGAGACACGGACCAGACUCCUACGGGAGGCAGCAGUGAGGAAUAUUGGUCAAUGGGCGAGAGCCUGAACCAGCCAAGUCGCCGUGAAGGAAGAAGGAUCUAUGGUUCGUAAACUUCUUUUGCAGGGGAAUAAAGUGCGGGACGUGUCCUGUUUUGUAUGUACCCUGAGAAUAAGGAUCGGCUAACUCCGUGCCAGCCGCUGC
rnacentral:rRNA from 1 species